CCUGGCGCUCUCGGGGUACAUGAAGUGGUGGGUGGUCCUGCUACCGGCGUCGUCCUCGUACCCGACGGUGGGCGCCAGGUUCAUCCUGAUGGGAGGAGAGACAGGAUGGCUGCUAGAUCGAUGACACUACCUGCUGGCGUGGGGACAGGCGGCUGCCCGCCACGAAGCAGAGACAGAAAUGCUCAGGCAGAGCCUGAGAACAAUGCAGAGCCUGAGAGACACACACACACACACAUAGACACACACGCUGACCUCUUCCACAUUUUCAUGCUCUCUUACCCACAGACACAAACAACCGUGCAUGACACUGCUUCCUCUCACACAGCCAUGGUGUGCUGGUCUGUGUGCGAGAGAGCAGGAGGGUGGAAGCUGAGAUUGCUUCAGAUCGGGUAGACUCGCCUGCCCCCCCCCACACACACACACACACGCACAUAGAGAACGCUCUUCCAUACAUCACUUCAGUAGUGACACGCACACAAAAAUCCAUGGGCUUCCAGAACAAAC